UCCGAGAGGCUUUUAUUUUGAAAGGCAAUUGGCGUCACUGGAGACGCAGUGGUGGCUUACGGCAACCACCACCGAGGCGAUGUGGAAAAUGGCAAUGUCGGAGGAGGUAGGCAGGGCGCUACAGUCGGUGGUGCAGCGGGUGAACCAGGCGGCGUCCCGACGACCCAAGUCGCUACCACCUGUGCCGCCACGACUUGUCGCGGUCAGCAAAAUGAAACCUCCCAAGAUGGUCGUGGAGGCCUACACUCAAGGCCAACGUAACUUUGGAGAAAAUUAUGUUAAUGAACUUUUGGACAAAGCUUUAGAUCCCAUGAUUUUAGAAUCAUGCCCAGAAAUCAAGUGGCAUUUCAUUGGUCAUCUACAGAAGAAUAAUGUCAACAAACUCUUGGGCGUGCCAAAUUUGUUCUUGGUGGAGACAGUCGACUCGGCGAAACUGGCUGACAAGGUCAACACCUCAUGGCUCCGUAUCAGAGGAGUGAGCACGAAGAGGUUAAAGGUCAUGGUGCAGAUCAACACUAGUGGCGAACAGAGUAAAUAUGGCCUUCUACCAGAGGAAACUGUGAAUACCGUGAAGCACAUCGUAUCGGAGUGCUCUGCCCUGCAGUUCUCAGGACUCAUGACCAUUGGGCGCUAUGGCUACAACCUCACCCUUGGCCCAAAUCCGGACUUCCAGAUGCUUCUGAGUUGGCGGCAGAAGGUUUGUGACAGUCUGAAGCUACCUCUGGAGGAGGUGGAGCUCAGCAUGGGUAUGUCCACAGAUUUUGAACAUGCGGUGAGUAGCCAGUACAACUAUUACAAGCUCUUCUUACUUUUUUCGGGUGCAUAUAUAGUGGAAUAUCCUAACUGUUGCACAAUGUAAAAUUCAAGCAAUUUUUGUGUUGAAAAACAUGCCCUAAAAGUACACAACUUCAGCUAAGUGGGCACUUUUUAAAUUGGAUAUUGUGCAGUUAUUAAAGGAUAAAUAUUAACAAGGGUUGUUGUGGCACCUUUACUGCAUUUAAGAGGAAAGUAAAUGCUUUACUGCAUUUAAGUUUGCGGAACACUGCUCUAAAAGUUUAUAUCCAUGAUAGUCGUGUUUUCUUCAGCUUUUUUUUUUUUUGUUUUCUUUCUGGUGACAGCACCACAGAAUAGUGCAAAAAUAAAAAGUGGAGAAAUAUGAUCAAAACCAUAGAACACGACAAAGAUGUGUCCUGGCUAUUGAAAACAAACCCCACCAAUCUGGUGCCACGUUAAUUGCACUCCUAGUGGCAUUAGUUAAGUCUAGUCUAGUAAGUGCCUGGCCGAAGUUCGGCUGUACCAACGAUCUCCCAAAAGAACGUCUCUGACCGGUCGAUGAGGAUGGACAGGGGGCAGAACGCCGCGACCUGGGACACCCAGUUGAGCCGGGGAUGUUCCCGGGGGCGUCGCCACCUGGGAGGAGAUUGGGAGGCUGCCUGGGUAACGUGCAUGGCUGGAGUGUCGUUACCGAGGUGCAUGAUAUGUCCAGAAAGUUGGAGCUCACGGCGCCUGACUGUUAUUGAGACCGCCUCAGGGCUUCUGGCCCUGGUGUACACCGCUUUGUUGGUACUGAAGUCGUGCCAUCGGAUGCCGAGGAUUUCUGGAGGCAGUUCCUUUGGAAACUGUCAAGGCAUUGACUGAGGGGUGAGAGAAAGUCAGAGAGAGACUGUAGUUUUGUCUUCACUCAGCUGAUGGUUUGGCCAAGAGGUAUCAAUGAGAGUGGCAAGGAAGGCGACAUCGUUAGCGAAGUUGAGGUUGGUAAUUGUGGAAUGAUCCAAGAUGGCGCCUACCAGUGUGGUCGGCUCGGUUACGCGCUCUCUAGUAUUGUUUUUGUUUUUGUGUUUUUCGUUCAUCUUUGGAGACAUUACACGACUCACUUACACAAGGGGAGACUUGCUAACCAUCAAGGAGGCUGCUGUGGAAUUUCUUUCACCAACCUUUGCAAAUCCGCUCAGUUUUUUCCCCGAGUUACUCAACAGAUCAGCGAACGGCGGUCUUCGGCGCAUGGCGUCGGAGGCGACGCCACAGAGGGAAGUGAGGCGGCAUCCAUGUGAAACUCUUCGAGAGGAUACAGACUGGCGUUUCCGUCCAUCCACCUCGCGAAUGUACGCUCCCUACCCAACAAAAUGGACGAGCUUCAUCUUCUGAUAAAGACCAAGCAGACCGCAUCACGGAGUUAACUGGGAAAACAAAGGGCCGCGGGAUAUGCUUCUAGAUCAACGAAAAAUGGUGCACGGAUGUCACGGAGCUCAGCACACACUGCAGUCCGCAUUUGGAGUUGCAUUUUUUGAACUGUAAGCCAUUCUACUCGCCACGUGAGUUUGCAUCAUUCAUUCUCGCUAGCGUCUACCUUCCGCCUCAAGCUACCACGAAUGCCGCACUGCUAAUGCUCAGCCGAACAAGUCAACGAAAUUGGAGUGUCCUCUCUCCGCAGCUCUUCUCUCUCUACACGAACGACUGCACCUCAACGCACCCGGCUGUCAAACUCCUGAAGUUUGCAGAUGACACCACUGUCAUCGGCCUCAUCAAGGACGGUGACG